rnacentral:rRNA from 1 species
GAUGAACGCUAGCUACAGGCUUAACACAUGCAAGUCGCGGGGCAGCAUGGGGGUUGCUUGCAACCCCUGAUGGCGACCGGCGCACGGGUGAGUAUCGCGUAUCCAACCUUCCCUUCACCACGGGAUAACCCGGCGAAAGUCGGACUAAUACCGUAUGUUGUCCAUUUACGGCAUCUGGUGUGGGCGGAAGUUUCGGCGGUGAAUGGAUGGGGAUGCGUCCGAUUAGCUUGACGGUGAGGUAACGGCCCACCGUGGCUACGAUCGGUAGGGGUUCUGAGAGGAGGGUCCCCCACAAUUGAACCGAGACACGGGCCACACUCGUACGGGAGGCAGCAGUGAGUAACAUUAGGCACUGAGCGUAAGCCUGAACCCGCCAAGUAGCGUGCAGGAGGACGGCCAUAUGGGUUGUCAACUGCUUUUAUGCGAGGAUAAAGUGGCUCACGUGUGGGCUUUUGACGGUACCGAAUGAAUAAGGACCGGCUAAUUACGUG